rnacentral:rRNA from 1 species
GACGAACGCUGGCGGCGUGCUUAACACAUGCAAGUCGAACGGAAAGGCCCUGCUUUUGUGGGGUGCUCGAGUGGCGAACGGGUGCGUAACACGUGAGUAACCUGCCCUUGACUUUGGGAUAACUUCAGGAAACUGGGGCUAAUACCGGAUAGGAGCUCCUGCUGCAUGGUGGGGGUUGGAAAUUUUCGGCGGUUGGGGAUGGACUCGCGGCUUAUCAGCUUGUUGGUGGGGUAGUGGCUUACCAAGGCUUUGACGGGUAGCCGGCCUGAGAGGGUGACCGGCCACAUUGGGACUGAGAUACGGCCCAGACUCCUACGGGAGGCAGCAGUGGGGAAUAUUGCACAAUGGGCGGAAGCCUGAUGCAGCAACGCCGCGUGCGGGAUGACGGCCUUUGGGUUGUAAACCGCUUUCGCUUGUGACGAAGCGUGAGUGACGGUAAUGGGUAAAGAAGCACCGGCUAACUACGUG